rnacentral:rRNA from 1 species
AUUGAACGCUGGCGGCAUGCCUUACACAUGCAAGUCGAACGGUAACAGGUCUUCGGAUGCUGACGAGUGGCGAACGGGUGAGUAAUACAUCGGAACGUGCCUAGUAGUGGGGGAUAACUACUCGAAAGAGUGGCUAAUACCGCAUGGGAUCUACGGAUGAAAGCAGGGGAUCGCAAGACCUUGUGCUACUAGAGCGGCCGAUGGCAGAUUAGGUAGUUGGUGGGAUAAAAGCUUACCAAGCCGACGAUCUGUAGCUGGUCUGAGAGGACGAUCAGCCACACUGGGACUGAGACACGGCCCAGACUCCUACGGGAGGCAGCAGUGGGGAAUUUUGGACAAUGGGCGCAAGCCUGAUCCAGCAAUGCCGCGUGCAGGAUGAAGGCCUUCGAGUUGUAAACUGCUUUUGUACGGAACGAAAAGCCCUGGGUUAAUACCCUGGGGUCAUGACGGUACCGUAAGAAUAAGCACCGGCUAACUACGUGCCAGCCGCCGCCGUAACAC